rnacentral:rRNA from 1 species
AUGUCUUGGCGUUGGUAGUUGAAGAAGGACGUGAUAAGCUGCGAAAAGCCUCGGGAAGCUGCAAAUAAGCGUUGAUCCGGGGAUGUCCGAAUUGGGAAACCAGGCUGAAGUCAUGUUCAGUCACUUAUAUCUGAAUACAUAGGAUAUAAGAAGUAACCAGGAGAAGUGAAACAUCUCAGUACCCUGAGGAAUAGAAAGAAAAAUCGAUUCCCUGAGUAGUGGUGAGCGAAACGGGAACAGCCCAAACCGAAGAUGUGUCAAGCUGACGGGCGUUGCAUUUUCGGGGUUGCGGGAUUUAAGCGGAGGCCUCCGUUAAGGCUUCGGAAAGUUACAAAAUUAACGUUUAGUGGAAUAGUUUUGGAAAACUCAGCCAUAGAGGGUAAUAGCCCCGUAUACGAAAAACGUUAAUCUUUCUGGCUUAGACUCCCAAGUACUGCGGGACACGAGAAAUCCUGUGGGAAUCUAGGAGGACCACCUCCUAAGGCUAAAUAUUAACCAACGACCGAUAGUGGACAAGUACCGUGAGGGAAAGAUGAAAAGAACCCCGGAAGGGGAGUGAAAUAGAACCUGAAACCGUAUGCCUACAAGCAGUGGGAGGGCUAUGCCAGUCUUUUGGCUGGAACGCCUGACCGCGUGCCUUUUGCAUAAUGAACCGGCGAGUUAUUCUCAAUAGCAAGGUUAAGCCCGUAGAGGUGGAGCCGCAGCGAAAGCGAGUCUGAAUAGGGCGUAUAGUUGUUGGGAGUAGACCCGAAGCUAAGUGAUCUAUCCAUGGUCAGGGUAAAGCAUGCUUAACCGCAUGUGGAGGCCCGAACCAGUUAACGUUGAAAAGUCUUUGGAUGAACUGUGGAUAGGGGUGAAAGGCCAAUCAAACUUAGUGAUAGCUGGUUCUCCUCGAAAUAGCUUUAGGGCUAGCCUUAUACGUAGCUACAGGAGGUAGAGCACUGAUUGGGCUCGGGGGGCUUACCAGCCUACCCAACCCAGCCAAACUCCGAAUGCCUGUAGUGCAAGUAUGGGAGUCAGACUAUGGGGGAUAAGCUCCAUAGUCGAAAGGGAAACAGCCCAGACCGUCAGCUAAGGUCCCUAAUAUAUGCUCAGUGUUAAAGGUUGUGAGAACGCUCAGACAAUCAGGAUGUUGGCUUAGAAGCAGCCAUUCAUUUAAAGAGUGCGUAAUAGCUCACUGAUCGAGCGGUCUUGUGCCGAUAAUGUAAGGGGGCUCAAGCAUAUAACCGAAGCUACGGAUGGCAUUCUUUUAGAAUGUCGUGAUAGAGGAGCGUUCCAUGUUAGGUUGAAGAUAGACCGUGAGGACUAUUGGACGAAAUGGAAGUGAGCAUGCCGGUAUGAGUAACGAUAAAACAGGCGAGAAACCUGUUCGCCGUAAACCUAAGGUUUCCUGGGAAAGGGUAAUCCGCUCAGGGUAAGUCGGCCCCUAAGCUGAGGCCGAAAGGCGUAAGCGAUGGGAAACAGAGUAGAAAAUUUCUGUACCACUAUUGUAGUGUUUGAGCAAUGGGGUGACGCUGCAGGAUAGGUCAGCGCGCAGUUGGUGUCGCGUUUAAGCUGGUAGGGAGAGUUUCCAGGCAAAUCCGGAGACUUGUUAAUCCCGAGAAGUGAUGAGGAGCCCGUAGGGUGAACUGAUUGAUUCCAUACAGCCAAGAAAAACCUCUAGUUAAUUACAAUGGUGACCGUACCGCAAACCGACACAGGUAGGUGGGAUGAAUAAUCCAAGGCGCUCGGUAGAACCCUCGUUAAGGAACUCGGCAAAAUUAUCCCGUAACUUCGGAAGAAGGGAUGCCACUCAGGUGUAAGGACUUGCUCCUGAAGCCCAGAGUGGUCGCAGUGAAAUGGCUCAAGCGACUGUUUACUAAAAACAUAGGUCUCUGCAAAGUCGCAAGACGACGUAUAGGGACUGACGCCUGCCCGGUGCCGGAAGGUUAAGAGGAGGUGUUAACCUUGAUGUAAAUCUUGGUGAAGCUCCGAAUUGAAGCCCCGGUAAACGGCGGCCGUAACUAUAACGGUCCUAAGGUAGCGAAAUUCCUUGUCGGGUAAGUUCCGACCCGCACGAAUGGCGUAACGACUUGAAUGCUGUCUCAACGAGGGACUCGGCGAAAUUGCAGUCGUGGUGAAGAUACCACGUUCCCGUGCCUAGACGGAAAGACCCCGUGAACCUUUACUGUAACCAGAUAUUGGGUUUAGGUAUUAUAUGUGUAGAAUAGGUGGGAGACUUUGAAGUGGGGACGCAAGUCCUCAUGGAGUCGCCGGUGAAAUACCACUCUUAUAAUACUUGAAGUCUAACCAGUUUCCGUGAAUCCGGGACUGGGACAGUGUUUGGCGGGCAGUUUGACUGGGGCGGUCUCCU